AGAGUUAGAUCUUGGCUCAGAUUGAACGCUAGCGGGAUGCUUUACACAUGCAAGUCGAACGGCAGCGCGAGAGAGCUUGCUCCCUUGGCGGCGAGUGGCGGACGGGUGAGUAAUAUAUCGGAACGUGCCCAGUAGCGGGGGAUAACUACUCGAAAGAGUGGCUAAUACCACAUACGCCCUACGGGGGAAAGGGGGGGAUCGCAAGACCUCUCACUAUUGGAGCGGCCGAUAUCGGAUUAGCUAGUUGGUGGGGUAAAGGCUCACCAAGGCAACGAUCCGUAGCUGGUUUGAGAGGACGACCAGCCACACUGGGACUGAGACACGGCCCAGACUCCUACGGGAGGCAGCAGUGGGGAAUUUUGGACAAUGGGGGAAACCCUGAUCCAGCCACCCGCGUGUAUGAUGAAGGCCUUCGGGUUGUAAAGUACUUUUGGCAGAGAAGAAAAGGUAUCCCCUAAUACGGGAUACUGCUGACGGUUCUGCAGAAUAAGCACCGGCUAACUACGUGCCAGCAGCCGCGGUAAUACGUAGGGUGCAAGCGUUAAUCGGAAUUACUGGGCGUAAAGCGUGUGUAGGCGGUUCGGAAAGAAAGAUGUGAAAUCCCAGGGCUCAACCUUGGAACUCAUUUUAACUACUAGAGUAUAGUAUAGCAGAGGGGGAUAUCACUUUCUACGCGUAGCAGUGAAUUGCGUAGAUAUGUGGAGGCAUACCGAAAGGGAAGCCCGCCCCCUAAUAUAAUACUUACGGUCAGACAGGGUAGGGGGGGGAGCAAACAGGAUUACCUACCCUGGUAGUCCACGCCCUAAACAAUGUCAACUAGCUGUUGGGGAGGUUAGGCCUUAGUAGCGCAGCUAUUAAGUUAACUUGACCGCGUGGGGAGCCCGAAGGUUAAAAUUCAACUCAAAGGAAGGGGGGCGGCCCCGCACGGUGGGGCGGGUGAUUUAAAUUAAUUCGAUGCAAAGAACAAAACCUUACCUACCCUUGACAUGUAUGGAAAGCCGAAGAGAUUGGGCCGUGGGGGACAGAGAACCAGAACACAGAUGGUGCUUGGCAGUUGUCAUCUUGAGUUGUUAGAUUUAGUGCUAAAUCCAGCAACAACCGCAACCCUUGUCAUCAGCAGGUACGCAAGGGCACUCUAAGGAGACUGCCGGUGACAAACCGGAGGAAGGUGGGGAUGACGUCAAGUCAUCAUGGCCCUUAUGGGUAGGGCUUCACACGUCAUACAAUGGUCGGGACAGAGGGUUGCCAACCCGCGAGGGGGAGCCAAUCUCAGAAACCCGAUCGUAGUCCGGAUCGCAGUCUGCAACUCGACUGCGUGAAGUCGGAAUCGCUAGUAAUCGCGGAUCAGAAUGUCGCGGUGAAUACGUUCCCGGGCCUUGUACACACCGCCCGUCACACCAUGGGAGUGGGUUGCACCAGAAGUAGGUAGUCUAACCUUAAGGAGGGCGGUUACCACGGUGGGAUUCAUGACUGGGGUGAAGUCGUAACAAGUAGCCGUAUCGAACGUUGCU
rnacentral:rRNA from 1 species